CAGUAGCCACGGUAAUACGAAGGGGGCUAGCGUUGCUCGGAAUUACUGGGCGUAAAGCGCGCGUAGGCGGUUACUCAAGUCAGAGGUGAAAGCCCGGGGCUCAACCCCGGAACUGCCUUUGAAACUAGGUGACUAGAAUCUUGGAGAGGUCAGUGGAAUUCCGAGUGUAGAGGUGAAAUUCGUAGAUAUUCGGAAGAACACCAGUGGCGAAGGCGACUGACUGGACAAGUAUUGACGCUGAGGUGCGAAAGCGUGGGGAGCAAACAGGAUUAGAUACCCCUGUAGUCCCUGUCUCUUAUAC
rnacentral:rRNA from 1 species